UUGACCAACUAGUCUUCCUUAUGGCUCGGGAAGACUAGAUAGUAAAAGUCCAUAAUUGUCCACACUAUUAUAUUAUACUAUAUGUAUAUUUAUUUGCAUAGUAGAUGUAUAAUAAAUUAUAUAUAUAUGAUUAUAUCGAUAUUGAUGAGACCUAUGCAUACAAAAACCUCAAUAAAAUAUUAAGUCAUAUUUUACAUUUG
rnacentral:lncRNA from 1 species